rnacentral:tRNA from 1 species
GCCCUUGUAGCUCAACGGUAGAGCACUCCCUUGAGAAGGUAGUGCUCUACUAUCGGUUUCAAAUCCCGUCGAGGGCA